CAGCAGCCGCGGUAAUACGGAGGGAGCUAGCGUUGUUCGGAAUUACUGGGCGUAAAGCGCACGUAGGCGGUUAUUCAAGUCAGAGGUGAAAGCCCGGGGCUCAACCCCGGAACUGCCUUUGAAACUAGAUGACUGGAAUCUUGGAGAGGUCAGUGGAAUUCCGAGUGUAGAGGUGAAAUUCGUAGAUAUUCGGAAGAACACCAGUGGCGAAGGCGACUGACUGGACAAGUAUUGACGCUGAGGUGCGAAAGCGUGGGGAGCAAACAGGAUUAGAUACCCCAGUAGUCCCUGUCUCUUAUAC
rnacentral:rRNA from 1 species